rnacentral:SRP_RNA from 1 species
GGUCAAGUCCCGUGCGGCUGCGACAAGCCCAACCCCGCCAGGUCCGGAAGGAAGCAACGGUCAGUUUGCUCUCAGAGCGCCACGGUUAACUUGACCGAU